CUGUUACCCACAAUACUGCGCUCGAGGAAGGAGGAAAUGGGAGGAGAAAAAAUGGUCAAGGAAGAUUUCCUCUGUCCACUACUUGUCAUGAAAUGGAAAACAUAUGGACGAAGAAUUCUUGUAUAAAUUGGCUACAAUCAGUAAACAGAAGAAAUCCCACGCCGCCUCCCCACCUUGUCAUGCAUUUCAAUACCCAGUGCUGCCAGCUCAUCACCAUUUGGGAGCCAAGUGGAAAACCGGACUCAGGGAAGCAGGAUAGAAGAGGUUCCUAUACGAUGCUCACACCCUCCUUCCCCAGACUGCCUCACUCCAU